UUCCAACCACUUGUCAUUCAAUGAGUAUCCAGAAAUUAGAGUAUUCCACGAAACCAAGUCUCUCUGCUUCAGGUGCGAGAACAAAAUCUCUGCUUCUUCCAUCUGUCCAACCCUCAAAUAAAGGUUCAUCAAUGCAUUGCAGACAGAAAUAUCUUCUAUCAAUUCAGUCCUACGAUGUAUAUAACCAUGGAUCUCUUUUCCAAACCUACAGGAAACAUUAUUACCGAAGGAAGCACAAACAGGUAAAAUACAUGCAAUUGUUAUAUAAUUUGGCUCUAUGGGUUCUUCCAGCAUCAGACUAAACAAUUGUAAUGCAUCAAACAUUAAAUUCUUUUCUGCUAAUGCCGAUAUUAUAGUAUUCCAUGUAACAACAUCUUUAUGAAUAAUGCUGUUAAAUGCAGCAUAUGCAUCGUACCAUGGCUGCCCAGAUUUGGCAUACAUCGAUAUGAGAGCAUUUCCAACAAGUGUAUCCCUGUCCAAUCCAGAUUUCAUAACAAAAGAAUGUAUACUCUUCCCAACAA
rnacentral:lncRNA from 1 species